ensembl:lncRNA
GUGGAUACAUUUUUUUGAAAGGCAUGAUUGACGCUUGUGAAUGGCAGGCGAAAAACGAGUCCAGCAAGUUAGAAAAAAUUCCAAGUCUAGUUUUCCGUCAUCGUACAAAACCCCCUCUGCCCAGGAGUUGCUCAUCUUUAGUUCUCAGAAAGAGAGGAGUUAUUUGUACAUACUUUCUCAUCUGAGUAGUCUACAGGUCCUAGCAGACACAACGUCUCUGAUAUUCUCAGAGACCUAAAAGGACAUGGAUAUGAAGCCUCUGAUGAUUCUCCUCCUGCUAGCAGCUGUCACCACCACCGCCCCUGCAGCAGCUCAAACCACCACCGCCCCUGCAGCAGCUGUCACCACCACCACUCCCGCAGCAGCUGCCACUACCACCACUCCUGCAGCAGCUGGUACCACCACCACUCCUGCAGCAGCUGGUACCACCACAGCUUCGGCAGCAACCACUUCCGCUGCUGUCAUAUCAACUGACCCUCCAUCUUCUAGUGAAGGAACAAUGAGUCUUCAGUUCCGUCUCAACCAGACGUUCAACUCAGAUCUUUCCAACCCUUCCUCUUCAGGGUUCAAGACUCUGGCUGCCAAAGUGAUCUCUGAGGUGAACAAGGCUUUUGCUAAGACCCCAGGCUUCCGUCGUUCCAUUGUCAACUCAUUCAGGAGUGGAUCUGUGGUUACCGACAUUACCCUCGUGUUCGACAAUCAGUCUUCGGUUCCCAGCUCAAGCAACUCACAGGCAAUUCUCACCAGCAGUUCCACCUCCCUGAACAUUAUACCAGGCAGCAUCAGUGAUGGGUCAUCAACCAGCUCAGGAAGUGCUCCCCGACCCACUUCUUUCUCUCUGGCUGCCUUGCCUCUCAGUUUGGCUCUGUUAAUGGUACAGCUGCUGGCUAGCUAAUAGCCUGGGACAUAGCUGCUGUGGCUCUGCUAGCUACUAGGCUAGCUAAUAGCCUGGGGCAUAGCUGCUGUGGCUCUGCUAGCUGCUGGCUAACCAAUAGCCUGGGGCAUAGCUGCUGUGGCAUUGGUUUAACCAAUCAACAGUUUCCCAGCUCUCAUAGAUACAGCCUUAAAGCUAGAAUCCUUAGUUGCUACACCCAUUUUUUUACUUAUAAAUUCAUUAUAUCUACCCAUUGAUUCUAGAAGAAUAUAACAUAUGAAUACCUCAUGAGUUUAGAUCAACUGUCGUACCCCAUCAGAACCCACAAUAUGAGCUUGUUUUACCCCGAUGUUUCUAAACAAUGCAAACAAACACUGUACAGCUUUAAAACAUGAUUAAAACUAUAAUUCUGAUAUCAUGGAUGGUCAGUCCUGGCAUCCAUAGCUCUGUCUAUUUUAUUUUACGUGUCAAGUCAGUUAAGAACAAAUUCUUAUUUAAAAUGACGGCCUAGGAACAGUGGGUUAACUGCCUUGUAGCGGGGCAGAAUGGCAGAUUUUUGCUCGGGGAUUCGAUCUUGCCUUUUCGGUUACUAGUCCAAGACUCAUUAGAGCUGUCAAUUUUGCAUGAGGCGGCAGCCUAGUGGUUAGAGUGUAGAGGUGGCAGGUAGCCUAGUGGUUAGAGUGUAGAGGAGGCAGGUAGCCUAGUGGUUAGAGUGUAGAGGUGGCAGGUAGCCUAGUGGUUAGAGUGUAGAGGUGGCAGGUAGCCUAGUGGUUAGAGUGUAGAGGUGGCAGGUAGCCUAGUGGUUAGAGUGUAGAGGAGGUAUAACCGAUAGGUUGCUAGAUCAAAUCUUCUGAGCUGACAAGAUAAACAUCUGUCAUUCUUCCCCUGAACCAAGGCAGUUAACCUGCUGUCAUUGGAAAAAAAUAUUUUGUUCUUAAAUAAAGAGCUGUCAAAGAUACAGAAAUCCCAUGUAGCAUUGUUCGAACACUGGAAUGUGAGAUGUAAUCUACACCUCGAUUAGGUUAUAAUGAUUUUUCCAAAUUGAGCGUCAAUAUUUUCAAAAUAACCUACACACUUCCUCGUUCUGAACUUGAAAGAGAAAAAGAGAGGGAAGGAGAAUUGACAGCUGAUUAAAACCUCUUAAGGAUAGGCGGGAUGCAAAUGUCUCAACUGGUCAAUUGCCAGGGGAAAUGCAGAGCGCCAGAUUCAAAUAAAAUGCUAUAGAAUUCAAACUUUCGUUAAAUCACACAUGUAAGAUACUCAAUUAAAGCUACACUCGUUAUGAAUCCAGCCAACAUGUCAGAUUUUUAAAAAAUGCUUUUCGGCGAAAGCAUAAGAAGCUAUUAUCUGAUAGCCUUCACCGUCUACACCAGCAGUGAACAAAGGAGCUAGCAUAUUACAACACAAAAGUGUCCCCAGUUCCGAGUUGGCCUACUUCUUCAUUGCACAAAGGAAUAACCUCAAACAAAUUCCAAAGACUGGCAACAGUCGGUAGGAACUGUAAAUAGGUUCCUAUGAAAUAUCCCAUGGCAGAGACAAUAUAGGGAACAGAGGGGGGGGGGAAUUCUGAACAGUUAGUCCUCUGGGUUUUGCCUGCUACAUAAGUUCUGUUAUACUCACAGACAUGAUUCAAACAGUUUUAGAAACUUCAGAGUGUUCUCUAUCCAAAUCUAUGAAUAAUAUGCAUAUCUUAUAUUCUUGGCAUGAGUAGCGGGAAGUUGAAAUUGGGCACACUAUUUAUCCAAAAGUGAAAAUUCUGCCCCCUAGCUUUAAGAGGUUUUAAGAUCAGUUACACCUCCAACACGUUAUUUAUUUAACCAGGCUAGUUGAGAACAAGUUGCCAAACAAUAGCUGUCGUCAGUCACUGGUAAACAGCUGAUUUGAUGGAAGCUAGGCCCUUAUCUUUCACGUUACUAUUAUUUAAAAUUUAACCUCUCACAUACAUCAAUUCAUGAUGACUUGCACACAGUUUAUCCGUCAAAUUUUUAUACUGAAAAUAACUAAAAGAAACAAAAACUUACAAAUUGUACAAUUUAUUUAUUUUUUAAAUAUUUUUAUUUGAUCAUAGUUCCCUCUUUAAUUAUUAACUGCUGUAACUAUAUUUACAUUUAAAUGUGUUAUUUUGGGCACAUCACUGAAGUGUCAAAGUGACUGAGGGACUAACGGGGACCACUUCAAUGUUUUAAAACUGUUGUAGAGCCUCGGCUGGUUUGUACUUGUCUUGUUAUUAUUAAAUCUAAUAUAUUAUGUACCACUCGUAGAAUAUA